GUGAGCAUGGCGUAGUGUUUUGAAUGUUUGACUAUGACUCUGGAGACCGGGGUUCAAAUCCCUGCUUGGCCACG